rnacentral:rRNA from 1 species
UACGAAGGGGGCUAGCGUUGUUCGGAAUCACUGGGCGUAAAGGGCGCAUAGGCGGCUAAUCAAGUCGGGGGUGAAAGCCUGUGGCUCAACCACAGAAUUGCCUUCGAUACUGUUUGGCUUGAGACCGGAAGAGGACAGCGGAACUGCGAGUGUAGAGGUGAAAUUCGUAGAUAUUCGCAAGAACACCAGUGGCGAAGGCGGCUGUCUGGUCCGGUUCUGACGCUGAGGCGCGAAAGCGUGGGGAGCAAACAGG